CCUUGUACACACCGCCCGUCACACCAUGGGAGUCGUUUGCUCCAGAAGUGCCUACGCCAACCGCAAGGAGGCAGGGCCCCAAGGAGUGAACGGUAACUGGGGUG
rnacentral:rRNA from 1 species